rnacentral:rRNA from 1 species
GUGCCAGCAGCCGCGGUAAAACGUAGGGGACAAGCGUUAUCCGGAUUUACUGGGCGUAAAGCGCCCGUAGGCGGCUUUUUAAGUUGGACGUGAAAGCUCCCGGCUUAACUGGGAGAGGCCGUUCAAAACUGAGAGGCUAGAGUGAGGAAGAGGAGAGCGGAAUUCCCGGUGUAGUGGUGGAAUGCGUAGAUAUCGGGAGGAACACCAGUGGCGAAAGCGGCUCUCUGGUCCUAAACUGACGCUGAGGGGCGAAAGCGUGGGGAGCGAACGGGAUUAGAAACCCGUGUAGUCC